GGUAAGAGCUGGCAACUCCCUAACCAUCGUGACGUUACCCAAAACCCGUUGCUUCGGCGGGCGGCUCCGGGCCCAGCCCGGCGCCCCUCGGCCCCCCCCCCAACAGCGGGCGGGGCGCCCGCCGGAGGAAACCAAACUCUUCUGAUAUCUUGGCCACUCUGAGUCUUCUGUACUGAAUAAGUCAAAACUUUCAACAACGGAUCUCUUGGUUCUGGCAUCGAUGAAAAACGCAGCGAAAUGCGAUAAGUAAUGUGAAUUGCAAAAUUCAGUGAAUCAUCGAAUCUUUGAACGCACAUUGCGCCCGCCAGUAUUCUGGCGGGCAUGCCUGUUCGAGCGUCAUUUCAACCAUCAAGCCCCGGGCUUGUGUUGGGGACCUGCGGCUGCCGCAGGCCCUGAAAAGCAGUGGCGGGCUCGCUGUCACACCGAGCGUAGUAAAUCUCAUCUCGCUCAGGGCGUGCUGCGGGUUCCGGCCGUAAAACAGCCUCAUAAGCACCCAAGGUUGACCUCGGAUCAGGUAGGAAGACCCGCUGAACUUAAGCAUAUCAUAGUC
rnacentral:rRNA from 1 species